rnacentral:rRNA from 1 species
GCUAUACUGCAAGUCGAGCGAACAGACGAGGAGCUUGCUCCUCUGACGUUAGCGGCGGACGGGUGAGUAACACGUGGAUAACCUACCUAUAAGACUGGGAUAACUUCGGGAAACCGGAGCUAAUACCGGAUAAUAUAUUGAACCGCAUGGUUCAAUAGUGAAAGACGGUUUUGCUGUCACUUAUAGAUGGAUCCGCGCCGCAUUAGCUAGUUGGUAAGGUAACGGCUUACCAAGGCAACGAUGCGUAGCCGACCUGAGAGGGUGAUCGGCCACACUGGAACUGAGACACGGUCCAGACUCCUACGGGAGGCAGCAGUAGGGAAUCUUCCGCAAUGGGCGAAAGCCUGACGGAGCAACGCCGCGUGAGUGAUGAAGGUCUUCGGAUCGUAAAACUCUGUUAUUAGGGAAGAACAAAUGUGUAAGUAACUAUGCACGUCUUGACGGUACCUAAUCAGAAAGCCACGGCUAACUACGUGCCAGCAGCCGCGGUAAUACGUAGGUGGCAAGCGUUAUCCGGAAUUAUUGGGCGUAAAGCGCGCGUAGGCGGUUUUUUAAGUCUGAUGUGAAAGCCCACGGCUCAACCGUGGAGGGUCAUUGGAAACUGGAAAACUUGAGUGCAGAAGAGGAAAGUGGAAUUCCAUGUGUAGCGGUGAAAUGCGCAGAGAUAUGGAGGAACACCAGUGGCGAAGGCGACUUUCUGGUCUGUAACUGACGCUGAUGUGCGAAAGCGUGGGGAUCAAACAGGAUUAGAUACCCUGGUAGUCCACGCCGUAAACGAUGAGUGCUAAGUGUUAGGGGGUUUCCGCCCCUUAGUGCUGCAGCUAACGCAUUAAGCACUCCGCCUGGGGAGUACGACCGCAAGGUUGAAACUCAAAGGAAUUGACGGGGACCCGCACAAGCGGUGGAGCAUGUGGUUUAAUUCGAAGCAACGCGAAGAACCUUACCAAAUCUUGACAUCCUCUGACCCCUCUAGAGAUAGAGUUUUCCCCUUCGGGGGACAGAGUGACAGGUGGUGCAUGGUUGUCGUCAGCUCGUGUCGUGAGAUGUUUGGGGUUAGUCCCGCAACGGAGCGCAACCCAUCAGGCCUAGUGCCAUUCAAUUAAGUUGGG